AGCUCCAAUAGCGUAUAUUAAAGUUGUUGCAGUUAAAAAGCUCGUAGUUGGAUUUCUGGCAGAGUGUCCUCCGUCCAGCAGUUCGUUUGGUUCGGAGCGCUCUACCAUCCUUCUGUUAACCUUUCCGGGAUUUACUUUUCGGACUGGGGCUCAGAUAUUUUACCUUGAGAAAAUUAGAGUGUUUCAGGCAGGCUAUUCGCCGGAAUACAUUAGCAUGGAAUAAUGGAAAAGGACUGCAACCUCUUCUGUUGGUCUGGGAGGCUGAAGUAAUGAUUAAUAGGGAUAGUUGGGGGCAUUAGUACUUUCCAGUCAGAGGUGAAAUUCUCCAAUUUGGUAAAGACUAACUUAUGCGAAAGCAUUUGCCAAGGAUGUUUUCA
rnacentral:rRNA from 1 species